rnacentral:lncRNA from 1 species
AGACUGGAGGGACAUUCUUAUCCUUGUGAGUUUCAAGACCAUUUGAGCAAAAUGUCAUGGGAGCAGGUAGCAGUCAUCACAUUAGAGGAAAAAUAAGUAGAGAGAAAAAGGAGGAGGAUCUUCUAUAUCCAGUCCAUUUUAUACAUUCUGGACCCAUCUGCCUGCUACCAGCAGUCUUCACUGGUCAACCACUCAACAAAGCAGUAGAGAUAUGUUGGACGUAGCUUUGAGCCUUUGUUCUUAUGGUCCUUCCCUCCCAGUUAAGACAUCUUUCCCUUUCUAUUGUUUCUUCUAGCUUUAUUAAUUCUGUGUGCCUCCUACAUAGGAGUGAUCUUUCUCUCCUCUGAACUCUAAUAAAACCUGUCUCACUUUGAGUUCCCAGGCAGUUGGUUGUGUCUCACAUGCGUAUUUCCUCAACAACACUGUAGUAAACUCUUUAAUGGGGUGAACUUCAUCUACUUUUCUGUAUAUACUUUGUGCCUUGAUCAAUCAAAUUGUCCAAUAAAUAUUAGCAAGAAUUUGAGUACUUA